AGUGAACGCUGGCGGUAGGCCUAACACAUGCAAGUCGAACGGCAGCACAGUAAGAGCUUGCUCUUACGGGUGGCGAGUGGCGGACGGGUGAGGAAUACAUCGGAAUCUACUUUUUCGUGGGGGAUAACGUAGGGAAACUUACUCUAAUACCGCAUACGACCUACGGGUGAAAGCAGGGGAUCUUCGGACCUUGCGCGAUUGAAUGAGCCGAUGUCGGAUUAGCUAGUUGGCGGGGUAAAGGCCCACCAAGGCGACGAUCGGUAGCUGGUCUGAGAGGAUGAUCAGCCACACUGGAACUGAGACACGGUCAAGACUCCUACGGGAGGCAGCAGUAGGGAAUCUGCCGCAAUGGGCGAAAGCCUGACGGAGCAACGCCGCGUGAGUGAUGAAGAUCUUCGGAUCGUAAAACUCUGUUAUUAGGGAAGAACAAAUGUGUAAGUAACUAUGCACGUCUUGACGGUACCUAAUCAGAAAGCCACGGCUAACUACGUG
rnacentral:rRNA from 1 species